UUUUAUUUUUCAUUUGUUUCGAAAAUCUUUUGAUAAUUUCGAUUCACACUUUUUUCAAAAGCAUUUUUAACAGCUUUAAGCAAAGAUCCUACAGGGAGGUUUCACGGCAGUGGGGUCACGACCCAUGACCCAUGACCCAUGACCCGUACUGUUGCUACACUACGCCAAGUGGAGGACACGCGAUGAACUGCAGGUUGGCAUUUACCAUUGUUUCCAGCGUAGCGGGCCCGUUAAAACUGCGCUGUAAAUAAUGAUGGAAAUCUGGAUGAGCGUGAGAGACAUUUAGCCGACUUCACAAUUCCAAAACUGAGGAGAAAUGACGGUAGAUAGAAGUGAGAGCUGAAGGGACAACAGACAGAGUGAUUGGCGAACAUUGGCCGUUUGCUCACUGCAUUUCAUCAACACUAAAGCAUUAUUUGUGUUUUUUCUUGAUUCCUUUGGCAUCUAAAAAGUUUCAGAAGUGAUAAAUCUGCCUCUCAUUUCUUUAAAUCGACCAUGGUUCUCGUGGGUUUUUACAUGCAAAAUGAAAACGCAGCUGAAGAAAAAUUUACAGGCAGAUUUAUCACUUCUGAGUAUUUUUAGAUACCAAAGGAAUCAAGAAAAAACACGAAUAAUGCCUUACUGUUGAUGAAAUGCAGUGAGCAAACGGCCAAUGUUCGCCAAGCACACUGGCUCUUGUUGUACCUUCAGCUCUCGUUUCUAUCUACCGUCAUUUCUCCUCGCUUUUGUAAUUGUGAAACGUGAUAAUUCCCAAUAUUUUCAAUGUUUACCAAGCACUUUAGCUGCUGUUGUCCCUUCAGUUCUCGCUUCUCUAUACCUUCAUUUCGCUUCACGUUUGGAAUUCUGAAGUUGGGUACAUGUCUCUCAUACUUACUCCGACUCCCACUAUUAUUUUCAGUGUAACAAUUCAACAUUUUGGCGGUUUUUAACAGGUAGGAAAGUACGCGUUUUUAGCAUUAAUAACAUAUACCGGAAGUGACGGAUGUCCUCCAGUUGGAUUUAGCGGCUCCGUGCGUCGAGCCCUAUGACCCGGUGACCUUACGUAAGAUCCCCCCUCAAUCUUCUAAAUUCUAGCGAGUACAAACUGAGUCUAUCCAGUCUUUCUUCAUAUGAAAGUCCUGACAUCCCAGGAAUCAGUCUGGUGAACCUUCUCUGUACUA